GGGAUUGCCCUAGUAACGGCGAGUGAAGCGGCAACAGCUCAAAUUUGAAAUCUGGCGUAAGCCCGAGUUGUAAUUUGUAGAGGAUGCUUCUGGGUAGCGACCGAUCUAAGUUCCUUGGAACAGGACGUCAUAGAGGGUGAGAAUCCCGUAUGUGACCGGCCCGCACCCUUUACGUAGCUCCUUCGACGAGUCGAGUUGUUUGGGAAUGCAGCUCUAAAUGGGAGGUAAAUUUCUUCUAAAGCUAAAUACCGGCCAGAGACCGAUAGCGCACAAGUAGAGUGAUCGAAAGAUGAAAAGUACUUUGGAAAGAGAGUUAAAAAGCACGUGAAAUUGUUGAAAGGGAAGCGCCUGCAACCAGACUUCGUGGCAGUGUUCCGCCGGUCUUCUGACCGGUUUAUUCUCUGUCGCGAGGCCAUCAUCGUCUAGGCCCGCCGGAUAAGACCUUAGGAAUGUAGCUCACCUUCGGGGGAGUGUUAUAGCUUAUGGUGAUGCGGCGAGGCUUGGGCGAGGUCCGCGCUUCGGCAAGGAUGAUGGCGUAAUGGUUGUCGGCGGCCCGUCUUGAAACACGGACCAAGGAGUCUAACAUCUAUGCGAGUGUUCGGGUGUCAAACCCCUACGCGUAAUGAAAGUGAACGGAGGUGGGAACCGCAAGGUGCACCAUCGACCGAUCCUGAUGUCCUCGGAUGGAUUUGAGUAAGAGCAUAGCUGUUGGGACCCGAAAGAUGGUGAACUAUGCCUGGAUAGGGUGAAGCCAGAGGAAACUCUGGUGGAGGCUCGCAGCGGUUCUGACGUGCAAAUCGAUCGUCAAAUUUGGGUAUAGGGGCG
rnacentral:rRNA from 1 species